GUUUUUUUUGAGGAACUUAUUGGGAUUGCAACAAGGACUACCCAGGCACCUUACAAACCCUAAAGUAAUAUUGGGGAGUAAGUGACAAUUGCUGAGCGCUACACACUUUUUUCACUAUUGCAUGCUUGUGUGUAUAUAGUGUAUUUAUUUAGACAGAAACUCCAUUGGUUGCCGUCUACACACGGACCAUACUUUUUCUAUGGCUGGAAGAAGAGGCUGACACAUGGAUGUACUGACUAGAUUUUGGCUCAGUACUGAGAUAGUCAUAGCUCCUGCUAUACUGCCAAUGGCUGGCAACCUCGGGAUG